rnacentral:rRNA from 1 species
GAUGAACGCUGGCGGCGUGCUUAACACAUGCAAGUCGAACGGAAAGGCUCCUGCUUGCAGGGGUACUCGAGUGGCGAACGGGUGAGUAACACGUGGGUGAUCUGCCCUGCACUUCGGGAUAAGCCUGGGAAACUGGGUCUAAUACCGGAUAGGACGAUGGUUUGGAUGCCAUUGUGGAAAGUUUUUUCGGUGUGGGAUGAGCUCGCGGCCUAUCAGCUUGUUGGUGGGGUAAUGGCCUACCAAGGCGUCGACGGGUAGCCGGCCUGAGAGGGUGUACGGCCACAUUGGGACUGAGAGACGGCCCAGACCCGUCGGGGGGGAAGAGGGGGGAAUUGUGGAAAAGGGGGAGCAGGCUGGAGGCGGCGGCGCCGGGGGGGGAAGGGCGGCUUGCGGUUGUAAACCCCCUUCCGCGGGGGACGAAGCGAAGGGGAGGGUACGUGAAGAAGAAGCCCGGGCAAACUCCGGC